GAUGAACGCUGGCGGCGUGCCUAAUACAUGCAAGUCGAACGCGCCGAGAAGGGAACUUGUUCCUUUCAACGCGAGUGGCGAACGGGUGAGUAACACGUGGGAAACCUACCCUUCAGCGGGGGAUAACCAUCGGAAACGAUGACUAAUACCGCAUAGUUGUUCCAGUCGCAUGACUGGAAUGGGAAAGACGGCUUCGGCUGUCACUGAAGGAUGGUCCCGCGGUGCAUUAGCUAGACGGUGGGGUAACGGCCUACCGUGGCUGUGAUGCAGAGCCGACCUGGGGGGGGGAUAGCCCACAUGGGGACUGAGACCCGGCCAAAACUCCUAAGGGAGGCAGCAGUAGGGAAUCUUCCGCAAUGGACGCAAGUCUGACGGAGCAACGCGGCGUGUGUGAAGAAGGUCUUGGGAUCGUAAAGAACUGUUAUCAGAGAAGAAUAGCCUAUAGAGUAACUGUUAUAGGUUUGACGGUAACUGAUCAGAAAGCCACGGCUAACUACGUG
rnacentral:rRNA from 1 species